GUAUCGGGGGAUGCAAGCGUUAUCCGGAAUCAUUGGGCGUAAAGCGCCUGUAGGUUGUUUAAUAAGUCUGUUGUUAAAGACUAGGGCUUAACCCUAGAAAAGCAAUGGAAACUACUAGACUAGAGUAUGGCAGGGGUAGAGGGAAUUUCUAGUGUAGCGGUGAAAUGCGUAGAUAUUAGAAAGAACACCGGUGGCGAAAGCGCUCUACUGGACCAUUACUGACACUCAGAGGCGAAAGCUAGGGUAGCAAAAGGGAUUAGAUACCCCUGUAGUCCUAGCCGUAAACGAUGGAUACUAGAUGUUGUGCUUAAUGUACAGUAUCGUAGCUAACGCGUUAAGUAUCCCGCCUGGGGAGUACGCUCGCAAGGGUGAAACUCAAAGGAAUUGACGGGGGCCCGCACAAGCGGUGGAGCAUGUGGUUUAAUUCGAUGCAACGCGAAGAACCUUACCAGGGCUUGACAUACUACAAAUUCUUUAGAGAUAGAGAAGUGCCUUCGGGAAUGUAGAUACAGGUGGUGCAUGGCUGUCGUCAGCUCGUGUCGUGAGAUGUUGGGUUAAGUCCCGCAACGAGCGCAACCCUUAUUUUUAGUUACCAACUUGUUGGGUUUUCUAGAAAGACUGCCGGUGACAAACCGGAGGAAGGUGAGGAUGACGUCAAGUCAGCAUGCCCCUUAUGUCCUGGGCUACACACGUGCUACAAUGGCUAAGACAAAGAGUCGCGAACUUGCAAAAGUCAGCUAAUCUCAUAAACUUAGUCUAAGUCA
rnacentral:rRNA from 1 species